rnacentral:rRNA from 1 species
ACUGAACGCUGGCGCAGGCCUAACACAUGCAAGUCGAACGGUAACAGGAAGAAGCUUGCUUCUUUGCUGACGAGUGGCGGACGGGUGAGUAAUGUCUGGGAAACUGCCUGAUGGAGGGGGAUAACUACUGGAAACGGUAGCUAAUACCGCAUAACGUCGCAAGACCAAAGAGGGGGACCUUCGGGCCUCUUGCCAUCGGAUGUGCCCAGAUGGGAUUAGCUAGUCGGUGGGGUAACGGCUCACCAAGGCGACGAUCCCUAGCUGGUCUGAGAGGAUGACCAGCCACACUGGAACUGAGACACGGUCCAGACUCCUACGGGAGGCAGCAGUGGGGAAUAUUGCACAAUGGGCGCAAGCCUGAUGCAGCCAUGCCGCGUGUAUGAAGAAGGCCUUCGGGUUGUAAAGUACUUUCAGCGGGGAGGAAGGGAGUAAAGUUAAUACCUUUGCUCAUUGACGUUACCCGCAGAAGAAGCACCGGCUAACUCCGUGCCAGCCGCCGCCGUAA